CAGAGAAGUGUUACAUACAUACAAAGUUAUGAUUAUUUGUUCAGAAUUGGCAUGAAUCUCUCAGGUGUCCUGUUAACCAUGUUAUUGGUUAUCUUUUACAGAUAUUUGGGUUGGCUGCUUCGGGUCAGGUUGGCAUGCUUUCCGGAAUUGGAGGUGGAAACCUCAAAGCUACUACCUGGAGGCUGACGAGCUCCACAAUAUCCAGUGAGUUACCCGUGCAGUUCAACUGGGCUGGGUGAGGGGUCAAAAGAGCUUUCAAGGAUCUUCUUCUGAAGAACAUCAUUUUCAAUAUCUUCGAGAGUUUCCUGGAUCACCCCCCGCUGAUCCUGCCUAAUGAGGUGUCUCAGCUGGGGUUGGGAGAGCCAAUCACGUUGCAGGAGCUGCAGCAGGAAGUGCAGAGGAUCUGAGCCUUCCUAUUGGACCUGGAACAGGAAGCCCUGCUGGCCAAUCAGAGGAUACAACUAUGAGAAGAGAGCCAAUCAUAGAGCAGUGGGUGACAGAGGCAGCCAAUCAGGAAGGAGAAUGUGGAUUCUGGGGAUAAAGGGGGUGCCUGUCUGUACAUCCGUCUAUCUGUCUGUCAACAUGUAUAUGGAGAACCGCUGAUCCCAUUGUCAUGACACUGGCUAUUCACAUUAUCUAGCAGAAGAUAUUGAGAAUAUCAGAUUGUGGGGAUAUAGGGGGUAUCUCUGUCUGUCUGUCCAUACAUCUGCCCACCAGUCUCACAUUUUUGCAUAUGUCAGGAGAAACGCUUAUCAAUUUCCAUUAAACUCUUCAUUGUCAUUUCUUAUCCUGCACUGUUCUGUACAUGCUGUUGAUACACGUGACGGACAUCGACGUUUUCCUCUCACUGAGAGCUCUGAUUGUGAAUGUGCAGCCGUGGCGAUGGGGAGUGGAGGUAACUGACUGGUUUAUAUUGCUGGGAUGGAUGAUGUCACUGACAGGCUGGUUUAUGUUGCGGGGAUGGAUGAUGUCACUGACAGGCUGGUUUAUAUUGCUGGGAUGGAGGGUGGAUGAUGUCACUGACAGGCUGGUUUAUGUUGCUGGGAUGGGGGGUGGACAGAUGUCACUGACAGGCUGGUUUAUGUUGCUGGGAUGGAUGAUGUCACUGACAGGCUGGUUUAUGUUGCUGGGAUGGGGGGUGGAUAGAUGUCACUGACAGGCUGGUUUAUAUUGCUGGGAUGGGGGAUGGAUGAUGUCACUGACAGGCUGGUUUAUAUUGCUGGGAUGGGGAUGGAUGAUGUCACUGACAGGCUGGUUUAUAUUGCUGGGAUGGGGAUGGAUGAUGUCACUGACAGGCUGGUUUAUGUUGCUGGGAUGGGGGGUGGAUAGAUGUCACUGACAGGCUGGUUUAUAUUGCUGGGAUGGGGGAUGGAUGAUGUCACUGACAGGCUGGUUUAUAUUGCUGAGAUGAUGGAUGGAUGUCACUUACAGGCUGGUUUAUAUUAACCUUUUGUAUUUUAAUAGCCUGUAGCUUUACCCUGAGCAUUGUAAACGUUUAUCAAUACUUUGUAAUCUUGCUAUUAGCUUAAAUAAAACUGUAACUUGUUAA